rnacentral:tRNA from 10 species
GGCUGGGCUCAGUGCCGAUGAGGACCCGCUCCAGCUGCCUCUCCCACAGCCAGGCAAGGUCCCCUCAGAAUUGGCCUGGGGGGUUCUAGUGAGAUUUCUUCCCAUGCGGAGACUAAGACCACAGGUCACCCUCAGCUCCUACUCACCCUCAGUCCAACCCAGAACACCCCACCGUUGGCCCCAUCUCUGAGCUUUGGGCACUCCAGAGAACAAUGUAUUGGCUUCCUCAGUGAUGUGGCUUCUUCCACGGGAGAGCACUGAACUGUGAGCCACAGUGGCCCCAUCUGGUGGCUGUCCUGCCUACUUCCCAGCCUCGUGAUCUUGGGCAAGUCAAUUCCCAUCUCUGAGCCUCAAUUUCCUCAUCCCUCUCCUGGGCUGUGGUGGAGAUGACAGGGUCCAGUGGUCAGGAAGCAGGCUGACGGCUGCAAAAUGUGAGUGUGUGUGCACGUGAGCACUUGGGUGGGGGGGCCAGAGUGGGGAGAGGGAGGCAUAUGGGUCUCCCACUUUGGGAGACUCCCGCCCUAUGGAUUUUCCACUGGCAUGUCGGCACCCUCUCCCCUAAAAUAGGCUCUACGAGCCGUGUGCGACAGAGCCCAGACUGAGGGGCCUUUUUUUAGCUGGCCUUUGAUUGUCAGCUCUCGAGCAGCUGCUAUUUUGAGCCCCAACGCCUAGAGGAGUAGGGCCAAGUGGGGGCUGAGGUUAGCUCAGUGGGCCUGGCUGGCUCCCCGAAGGCAUCCCCAAGGGGGCUGGCCAUCCCAUCUCACACCCUGCAUUGCUGGCAAGGAGAGCACGACAUCUCCUAUAGAUGGGGCCUAAGGGCUCCUCUGUCUACCUCUGCGGAAGCUGCAGACCUGGCAGAAAACAACCACAUUUACAGAGCACACCCCACAGGCCACUGCCCACCCACCCCCACCCAGAGAAGAGCAUGCUGUGGGGAUUAACUGAGAUAAUACAAGCAAAGCCCUUACUUAGCACAGAGGCUGGCACAUAAUUGGCUCUCAAAAAAUGGAACAGCUUCUGUUAUUAUUGUCAUUACAGCUGCAGUCAUUCUUGGUUUUGUUGUUAUAGUUAUGUUUUUACCAGAUUUCUUUCCAGUCUUUUUUCUAUGCAUUUAUUUUAUGUUACUGGGUUCGGGACAUGACCCUUCCCACCCCAUCCCCAUACAUGUGUACACGCCUAGUUUCAGCAGAAAGCAGCCCCUCUCAGUCUGCUGGGGUGCCCUCUAUGUCUCUGUGCUCCACUCCAUACAGGAAUCCCCCCUUCUAUAUAAGGCUUUUGGGGUUGACCCUCGAGAUGGCACUUGACCUUUCAGAGUGGAUGUAGUUGUGCCCACAGCUUCUGUGAUUUCUUCAAAUGCCAUCAGCCACUGCCCCAUAGGAUUCCAGGCCCCCAAUUCUGAAUGUCCAGUUCUAGAUGCUAGAUCCCUGGCUGGCCACUGUACCUGGGUUCUAGAGCCCUCUGACUGGAACCUGAGGAAAUGGGCUUGGUCCACAGCUAGAUGUGAGAAAGUGGCAUUGCCACUGCAUAAGGCGUGGCAAUGGAUCCUAAGGACAAAUGUAGAUGCUCUGGGACUCUGGUUAUGGGGUGUGUGUGUGUGUGUGUGUGUGUGUGUGUGUGUGUGCAGGGGUAUGGGCUGCUGAGAAGAGGGGGAUGAGGGUAGGAAGCCAAGUUCUGGGAAGUGGCUGGGGCAGGCCCUCCCCUUCCCUAUUGGGGUCACUUCCCAGCAGGGCAGCAAGAUCAGCUGGGGUUGGGGGGUCAUAUGUUCCAUCCUUGUCCCAAACAGUUACUGCACAAGGUGAGACUUCCUUGUUACCCGAAGGACAAAAAUAGGUCCCAGGUGAUGGGCCACGAUCCAUGCCCAGAACCACAAGGGUUAUUCUGAGUGGCAGGCACAGGGCCAGGCCUGGCCUCAGUCAGGUGGACCUGAGCUGGCAGUGGCAUCCUCAGCCUGCGGGCUUGCUCUGUCCAUUCAGGGACCCUAAAUGUAGGUCGGGGGCUGGAACUGCGUGCAGGCUGACGCUCGAUCGGUAGGGGCUUGAGUCCCAACUCCGCUAUGUGACCUUGGGUAAGCCACUUGGCAUCUCCGAGCAUCUACCUCCUUCCCAAAUGAUGGGAACCCUGAUCCCUGCCUCUCAGGGUGGGUGAGAGAAUUUAGUGAGGCUGACAGAUGGCACUCAAUAGAUGCACAAAUCCCUGCUCAUCUGUCCUGGAGUCUAGGCCCAGGGGUCCAGAGAGGGUAAGGGCCUUGCCUGAAUUGCCUAGCAGCAGAAAGGUCCCUUCUCCUCCAACUCUGAAGAAGCAAGAGCCAGGCACAAGAGCACAUUUCUGGGAGGGCAUAUAGGGAUUUUCCAGGAACAGCUCCAUCCAACUGGAGAAUUCCAUUCCCAGCCCUGCUGCCCAGGGCCCAGGCUAAGGAGGAGACACUCCAGCUCACUCUGGUUCUGUCCAGUUCCUGCUCCUCGCCGGCAGAGCCCAGGCAGAGUGCCCCACACCCUGUUCUCUUGCUGUUUGCUGUGGGGUUUGAGGGGCCUGAGGCUCCUAGGUGCCCCCCUCGAGGCCCUGGCACAGAACAGCUGGUCUGAGCACACAGUUGGUCCUCUCCCAACCCCUGAUCCCUUCCAGGAGCCCACUGUUUCCUUCAUCCAGCAUGUCCUAGAAUUUUCCCUGGACCCAGCUCCUGCCCUCAGGCUCACCCCAGAUGAACAUAGACAAGCUGACAUGAUGGACGCUGACUUGGGGACAGAUGGCACCUGACCCAGCUCCAGGGUGGGGGUUGACAAAGGCAGCUGGAGAGGGGAAAGGUGGUCAGGUUGGGACAACUGUCUGGGCAAAGGCUCAGAGGUGUGGCUGUGCUCAGGGGAUUGGGACACACUGCAAAGUUUCCUUAAGGCUGGAAGUCGCCUGAUAGGCACCGGGGGGUGGGAGAGUGGGGGCGUGGGAGGUAGGGGGCAGGCAGAGGGUUGAACAGAAUAUUUAUUUGCUGAGCUGGAAUUGAGCCCUAGUCCCUUUCCCAACACAGACUUAUCUCUUCCCCCCACAACCAUCCUCACCAGAAUUUUGGCCAGAAACAAGAGGAGUCCUGUCCGAGGAGAGCCCGGCUGGCUGACUGGAAUCCCAAGACAUGCCAAGGUCCCUGGGAAAUGACAGGACACCCAGAUCUGCUGGGAGCAGAGUUCUCAUAGGGUCCCAGCUGAGCCCUGGAACUCCCCAGACCCCCUCUGCCACUCCAUCUCUGCGUCAGCCCAGCACCUGUGCCCUAUCCGGCUUUGGCCACCAUCUCCACCCUGGGGAGGGGGAGCAUAACCCCCUCCAGCCUGAGGUUGGCGCCAAGGUUUAGGAGCCAGCACAGAAGCCUCUGAGAGCCAUAAGGGUAGAAAAGGUUACCCGGUACUAAACCAGCCAGCCUCGGGGUGAUCUCAUCCACUUCCCAAGAUAAGCCCCCUCCCCCACCCUCUGGCCACUGGCCAACAGGUUAACAGAGAGACUCCCUCACUGGAAGCAACUCAGAGUGGCUGAAGCACAGAAGUGGUAGAGGUAUGAGAUGGGGUUGAAGAGUGGGCAGGGCCAGGUCACACUCAGCCUUGCACAUCAUGAAGGGAUUGUGACAUUUUUCUGACUCCUUGGAAGCAGGGGAGGAUGGUGGGAGGCAGAAAUGGGAGGAUGUCACUGAAAGCUUUUAUUAUUUUUUUUAAUGAUUUGUUUGUUUGUUUGUUUGUUUGUUUUAGAGACAGGUCUCUAUUGCUCAGGCUGGAGUGCAGUGGCAUGAUCAUAGCUCACUGUAACCUCAAACUCCUGGGUUCAAGCGAUCCUUCUGCCUCAGCCUCCCAAGUGGCUGGAACUACAGGGGUGUGCGACCACUCCUGGCUCAUUUUGUUCAACAUUAUUUUGUUACAACAUUGAUGAAGAAAAAAAUCUAUUUCUGGCUGGGGCUACUGUCUGUGUGGAGUCUGUAGAGGACUUUCUCUGGGUACUCUGGUUUCUUCCCCCAUCCCAAAGAUGUGCAUGUUAGAUUAACUAGCUUGUCUGCAUGCUCCCAGUCUGCAUGAGUGUGAGUGUACUCAAGGCAAUGGCAUCCUGUCUAGGCCUGGUUCCCGCCUGGCGCCCUGAGCUGCUGGGAUAGGCUCCAGCCAUCCAUGACCUUGAACUGGAAUAACUGGAUAAAUAAUUCUAUUACUUGUUUUUAUUAAUCUUUCUUUCUUUCUUUUUUUUUUUUUUUUUUGAGAUGGAGUUUCACUCUUGUUGCCCACGCUGGAGUGCAAUGACACAAUCUUGGCUCACUGCAACCUCCGCCUCCUGGAUUCAAGAAAUUCUCCUGCCUCAGCCUCCUGAGCAGCUGGGAUUACAGGUGCCCACCACCAAGCCCGGCUAAUUUUUGUAUUUUUAGGAGAGACAGGGUUUCGCCAUGUUGGCCAGGCUGGUCUCAAAUCCCUGACCUCAGGUGAUCCACCUUCCCCAGCCUCCCAAAGUGCUGGGAUUACAGGUGUGAGCCACCACACCUGGCCUUGUUUCUAUUAGUCUUUCUUACACGUGUUUCAAUGUUUAAUAUGAGAAGCAUUUGGGUCUUUAUUUAGAAGUCUGAUGAUAUUUCUAUCACCAGAAAUAUGCUGUAGGAACUUAACUCUUGUUUAUGUCAAUUAGCCUAUGACAAAAUUGGUUUCCUUGUAUGUCAUUUUGCUUAAAGCUGCAAUUUCCAAGAACUACAUUAAGUGAGGACAUUAUAUAAAGACUUACUAUAUUCUAUUAGUUGUUGUCAGGCCUCUGAGCUCAAGCUAAGCCAUCAUAUCCCUUGUGACCUGCACCUAUACAUCCAGAUGGCCUGGAGCAACUGAAGAUCCACAAAAGAAGUGAAAAUAGCCUUAACUGAUGACAUUCCACCAUUGUGAUUUGUUUCUUCCCCACCCUAACUGAUCAAUGUACUUUGUAAUCUCCCCCACCCUUAAGAAGGUUCUUUGUAAUUCUCCCCACCCUUGAGAAGGUACUUUGUGAGAUCCACUCCCUGCCUGCCAAACAUUGCUCCUAACUCCACCGUCUAUCCCCAAACCUAUAAGAGCUAAUGAUAAUCCCACCACCCUUGCUGACUCCUUUUUCGGACUCAGCCCGCCUUGAGUCCAAAAUAAAUAAACAGCCUUGUUGCUCA